rnacentral:rRNA from 1 species
AUGAAAGCAAACAAGAGUAUACGGAGGAUGCCUUGGCUCUCAGAGGCGAUGAAGGACGUGAUAAGCUGCGAUAAGCUGCGGGGAUCCGCAAAUAGGACGUGAUCCGCAGAUUUCCGAAUGGGGCAACCCAGUUCGAUGAAGUCGAACUAUUCUGCAGUAAUGCAGAAUGCAAACCCGGAGAACUGAAACAUCUAAGUACCCGGAGGAAGAGAAAACAAUUCAGUGAUUCCGUAAGUAGUGGCGAGCGAAAGCGGAAUAGCCUAAACCCUGAUAACUACGGUUGUCAGGGGGUUGUAGGACUGCAACAUGAAGGAAAAUUUGAAGCAGAAAUUUCUGGAAAGCUAUACCAAAGAGGGUGAUAGUCCCGUAAGCAUAAAAAUUUUCCGGAUAGCAGUAUCCUGAGUACCGCGGGGUCGGAGACGCCCUGUGGGAAUCCGCCAGCACCAUCUGGCAAGGCUAAAUACUCCUGAGAGACCGAUAGUGAACCAGUACCGUAAGGGAAAGGUGAAAAGAACCGCGAACAGCGGAGUGAAAUAGUUCCUGAAACCGUAUACUUACAAGCUGUGGGAGUCCUAAUCCCGAUUCGUCGGGAGGGAUGACCGCGUGCCUUUUGCAUAAUGAGCCUACGAGUUACACCUCUCUGGCAAGGUUAAGUCCGUAAACGGACAGAGCCGCAGCGAAAGCAAGUCCGAAUAGGGCGAUUAGUCAGUGGGGGUAGACGCGAAACCUUAGUGAUCUACCCAUGGACAGGAUGAAGUUCCGGUAACACGGAAUGGAGGUCCGAACUAGUUGGCGUUGAAAAGCCAUUGGAUGAUCUGUGGGUAGGGGUGAAAGGCCAAUCAAACUGGGAGAUAGCUCGUACUCCCCGAAAUGUUUUUAGGAACAGCCUCGGUUAAAACGUGUCAUAGAGGUAGAGCUACCGAUUGGGCUAGGGGGCUUCACCGCCUACCAAACCCUGACGAACUCCGAAUGCUAUGACAUAAAGCCGGGAGUGAGGCUGUGGGCGCUAAGGUCCAUGGCCAAGAGGGAAACAACCCAGACCAUCAGCUAAGGUCCCUAAAUCCAUGCUAAGUUGAUCAAACGAUGUUUUACUGCUAAGACAGCUAGGAUGUUGGCUUGGAAGCAGCCAUUCAUUUAAAGAGUGCGUAACAGCUCACUAGUCGAGUGGUAGGGCGCGAAAAAUAAUCGGGCAUCAAGCAUGGUACCGACGCUAUGGGUCAUUCCGACUUGUCGGAAUGGCGGUAGGGGAGCAUUCCAAUUGCUGCGAAGGUGGUUCAUGAGAGUCGCUGGAGCGAUUGGAAAAGCAGAUGUAGGCAUAAGUAACGAUAAACCGGGUGAAAAACCCGGUCGCCGUAAGUCUCAGGGUUCCUGAUCCACGUUAAUCGAAUCAGGGUUAGUCGGGUCCUAAGGUGUAGCCGAACGGCGAAGCCGAUGGAAAAUCAGUUAAUAUUCUGAUACCGGCAUAUGUUGUGAUGGGGUGACGGAGUAGUGAAAGGUCUGCGUUCUGACGGAAUAGAACGUUAAAGCCCGUAGGUAUAGGUGAGGCUGGCAAAUCCGCUUCGCUUGCUGAAAGGUGACAGUACGGUAAGUCUUCGGACAAGCCGAUAAUGACCCUAAACAGACUUCCAAGAAAAACCUCUAAACUUCAGAUGUAUGCCGCCCGUACCGUAAACCGACACAGGUAGACGAGAUGAGUAAUCUAAGGCGCUCGAGUGAGCCGUGGUUAAGGAACUCGGCAAAUUGGUCCUGUAACUUCGGAAUAAAGGACGCCCCGAGCAAUCGGGGCCGCAGUUAAAAGGCCCAGGCGACUGUUUAACAAAAACACAGGGCUAUGCUAAUUCGAAAGAAGAUGUAUAUGGCCUGAAACCUGCCCGGUGCUGGAAGGUUAAAGAAGGGGGUUCGGCGCAAGCCAAAGCUCUCGACUGAAGCCCCAGUAAACGGCGGCCGUAACUAUAACGGUCCUAAGGUAGCGAAAUUCCUUGUCGGGUAAGUUCCGACCUGCACGAAUGGUCUAACGAUCUGGGCACUGUCUCAACCACGAGCUCGGUGAAAUUGUAAUACCGGUGAAGAUGCCGGUUUCCCGUCACGGGACGGAAAGACCCCAUGCACCUUCACUAUACCUUAACAUUGAGUCUGAGUAAAUGAUGUGUAGAAUAGGUGGGAGACUUUGAAGCGGCCUCGUUAGGGGCUGUGGAGUCGCAAUGUGAAAUACCACCCUUUGUUUAUUUAGAUUCUAACCCCGAACCCUCGGGGAACAGUGUUAGGCGGGUAGUUUGACUGGGGUGGUCGCCUCCUAAAGUGUAACGGAGGCUUUCAAAGGUACCCUCAGCACGCUUGGUAACCGUGCUUUGAGUGCAUUAGCAAAAGGGUGCUUGACUGCAAGACCUACAAGCCGAGCAGGGUCGAAAGACGGAUAUAGUGAUCCGGUGGUUCCGCAUGGAAGGGCCAUCGCUCAAAGGAUAAAAGGUACGCUGGGGAUAACAGGCUGAUCUCCCCCAAGAGCUCAUAUCGACGGGGAGGUUUGGCACCUCGAUGUCGGUUCGUCACAUCCUGGGGCUGGAGAAGGUCCCAAGGGUUGAGCUGUUCGCUCAUUAAAGUGGCACGUGAACUGGGUUCAGAACGUCGCAAGACAGUUCGGUCCCUAUCUGUGAUGGGCGCUGAAAUUUGAGAGGAGAUGACCCUAGUACGAGAGGACCGGGUUGUACGAACCUCUGGUGUACCUGUUGUGUUGCCAAAUGCAGUGCAGGGUAGCCACGUUCGGCCAUGAUAAGCGCUGAAAGCAUCUAAGCGCGAAGCAUUCCUCAAGAUGAGAUUUCAUAGGACCGUGGCAGACGACCACGUUGAUAGGUGGCAGGUAUAAAGGUGGUAACAUCAAAGCCGAGCCAUACUAAUUGUCCAUUUGCUUUCUAUUUUUUUAUUAUAG